UUCUUUUGCUAUACUAGAUGUUCUGUGAGCUAUUGAGUGUGAGCACAAUAUAAGUAAAAGUUAUACUGUGGUGUUAGGUUGCUGUAUUUUCUGUUAUUUUUGGAUUGGGAGGGCACUCAGCACCCUAUUUGCUCCUGGCUACCGUGGCUUUUAGUGACACAUGGAGAUGGAUGUUACGACAGACUACGCGGUUAAUUUUCAUAAAGUUUGCGAGGAUGUGUGGAAAAGAUCGCGGAUACGAUUACCUGUCAGGUCGAUGAGCGGCGGAAAGAAGGAUUUAGCAAACUUCGUGGGUUUUACCAACACCGCGGAAAUCGUGAGGAGGGCCGUAGCGGACAAACACCAGUACGUAAUUGCGACCUGAAAAGGUCUAUUGUGACCAUGCUUAGAUGAGCGCCAGAUCGAAGCUUUUGAAGAACCCAAUGAUCUGUCAGGGAUCGAUCUCCCUAAUUUGAUCGGGGGUGAUAAGCACCCAAGGAAUUUCUGUCUAAGAUAGCCGACAGCCGGACCAGUACACAUAAUGUGCUCAGCUGUUUCGGCCGUCUCCAUGCGAGGCUGUUUCGGCCGUCUCGAUCCGAAGCGGCAGCCAUCAUCCUCAGUUUUGCCAAUUAGGCUGAGGUGGUAUCUGAGUUGGCAGUGUCCAAAGAGAAGGCCUACCAGGGUGGUUAGAUCCCCUUUGUCCAGCUGGAUGCUACAGCCAGCCUUAAGGAAAGGAAAGCUAUCUCUCGAAAAGAUGCCUGGGAUUUGAAGAAGGCAGGGAAGGAUGCAACAAAAACUCUUUUAUUCUCGUGACCACACUAGUGGGAUGUGCGGCACGAGCCAAACGCACU
rnacentral:lncRNA from 13 species